rnacentral:lncRNA from 1 species
AUUUUGAGUUGCUGAAGUUUACUGCAAUUUUCAUAUGGAAAUAUUUCCUCUCCCAUUUCCUUGUGUUACUGAAGACAUAUUAUGAAAACUGUAAUAUAUUGGAAGCUUGCAAUUUGGAACUCAUUUGAUUUAACUGAUAAGAAUCUUUUUCAUUUCAUAAAACAUAGCUACCCUCAGAAAUUUAAAACUGCUAUGCUGUAUUAAACAGUGAAAACUAGGACAGCAAUAUUAAUUGGCUUUUGGACUGUGAGUAUUUGAAUCAACCUCUCCAUCAAUAUUUUUCCACUAGACUUUGCUCGAAUUACUAUAAAAAAUCAAGGAGCCAUCUUAUUGGAGGUACCAGAGUGGUUAAGGGUUCCAUGGAGCAGAUGCCUUGCUUCUCACCAAACCAGCCCAGCAAUAGCAGGAACUUUGAUAAAUCAUCAAUCUGCUCCCAUCUGCCUAUCAUCAUCAUACAUUGGAAUAAAAGAAUUACAGAAGUCUCCUAGUUUUAUCUGAAUUUAGAAUUGAUAUUUCUGUUCUCCUUGAUGCUUUGGAAUAAUUUUUUAAAGGAGAAAGGGAAAGAUAUAUUGACUCUACUUUUUUGAAAUUG